UGGGGAAUCUUAGACAAUGGGGGAAACCCUGAUCUAGCCAUGCCGCGUGAGCGAUGAAGGCCUUAGGGUUGUAAAGCUCUUUCAGCUGGGAAGAUAAUGACGGUACCAGCAGAAGAAGCCCCGGCUAACUCCGUGCCAGCAGCCGCGGUAAUACGGAGGGGGCUAGCGUUGUUCGGAAUUACUGGGCGUAAAGCGCACGUAGGCGGAUUAGUCAGUCAGAGGUGAAAUCCCAGGGCUCAACCCUGGAACUGCCUUUGAUACUGCUAGUCUUGAGGUCGAGAGAGGUGAGUGGAAUUCCGAGUGUAGAGGUGAAAUUCGUAGAUAUUCGGAGGAACACCAGUGGCGAAGGCGGCUCACUGGCUCGAUACUGACGCUGAGGUGCGAAAGCGUGGGGAGCAAAACAGGAUUUAGAUACCCCUGGUAGUCCACGCCGUAAACGAUGAAUGCCAGUCGUCGGGUUGCAUGCAAUUCGGUGACACACCCUAACGGAUUUAAGCAUUCCGCCUGGGGAGUACGGUCGCAAGAUUAAAACUCAAAUGAAUUGACGGGGUCAUAGCUG
rnacentral:rRNA from 1 species